rnacentral:rRNA from 1 species
UACAGAGGUCUCAAGCGUUGUUCGGAUUCAUUGGGCGUAAAGGGUGCGUAGGCGGCGCGGUAAGUCGGGGUGUGAAAUCUCGGAGCUUAACUCCGAAACUGCAUUCGAUACUGCCGUGCUUGAGGACUGGAGAGGAGACUGGAAUUCAUGGUGUAGCAGUGAAAUGCGUAGAGAUCAUGAGGAAGACCAGUGGCGAAGGCGGGUCUCUGGACAGCAACUGACGGCUGAGGCACGAAGGCCAGGGGAGCAAACGGG